GCCUUCCUCCUCGCUGAAAGUACUUUACAACCCGAAGGCCUUCUUCAUACACGCGGCAUGGCUGCAUCAGGCUUGCGCCCAUUGUGCAAUAUUCCCCACUGCUGCCUCCCGUAGGAGUCUGGACCGUGUCUCAGUUCCAGUGUGGCUGGUCAUCCUCUCAGACCAGCUAGGGAUCGUCGCCUAGGUGAGCCAUUACCCCACCUACUAGCUAAUCCCAUCUGGGCACAUCUGAUGGCAUGAGGCCCGAAGGUCCCCCACUUUGGUCUUGCGACGUUAUGCGGUAUUAGCUACCGUUUCCAGUAGUUAUCCCCCUCCAUCAGGCAGUUUCCCAGACAUUACUCACCCGUCCGCCGCUCGUCACCCGAGAGCAAGCUCUCUGUGCUACCGCUCGACUUGCAUGUGUUAGGCCUGCCGCCAGCGUUCA
rnacentral:rRNA from 1 species